rnacentral:lncRNA from 1 species
AGCCAUUCAGCUGACAGCUUUUCUUGAGAUUAACAUUGAGAAGAUAAAUAAGAGAGAGUGUGUUGCGGAUGGUGUAAAUUUGGAAGUGGGAUUGGUUGGGUCUCAUUCAAAGAAAUUUAUACAUUAUGUUUAGAUGAUGACAUGUCUUUGGAGUCAUCUGAAAUAGUAUAAGGGUGUGAAGAUAAGGAACAAAAAUCCAAUAUUCUUAAAUUUGCACCAGACAAGCAACAUAAAACAUGCCUCACUUUAAGGCUGAGUUUUUUACCAUGAACCAUUCAUUACUCGGUUCCUUCAUCUUUGUACCACCAUUCUAUGAGCAAAAAAAAAAGAUGGAUGCAAGGUUGGGGGUGAAAUUUAUAUCUUCAAGGUGGAAGAAAAAAUUAAUGUGGGUUGUGUCGCGAUAUUAAAUCAGGACCUGCUUGGGAGGCAGCUCAAGUUAAGGUAGGUAUUCAAUUUUCAUAGUUUUUUUUUUUACUUUACUUUUUUUAUUAUGUCAUAUGUUGAAGGGAAUUUUGAGUAUCAAAAACCUGAGCUAAAGAGUGUGGCAAAGACUUUGUGUGGUGUCCCAGACCCACCUUUGAUGUUUACAAAGGCUUCUAGCUAGGCCUAGAUGCCUCAGAGAGUAUUUAUAUCUCUGCUUUUAAAUUUAACUUUACGGACAAAAUAGAUUUUUAAAUGUGGGAUUAGGAAAUUUCAAUGUUUUGGGUGAAGUGAUGCUGUAGUUCUUGAGUCUUAGUUGUUUUCUUAGUUUGUUUUGGGUUAAAUUUGAAAAUUUUGAAGAAUCGCAAAAAGAUUUUUCUUUUUAGUUUUUAGUUUGUGGGUUUCAUUUGAGUAGAUACACACCUCACCCACCCUAUAGAUGUUCUUUUUGAUACUUUUUCUCAGGGGUGUACCUUAAACCAGUAUCCUUUUUGUUUUAGGAGUAAAUUUUGAAAUUUUUGUGUUAGGAUAAGUGAGAUAUUCUUGUUAGUGCUAUGUAUCAUUACAUGAUGCAAGUGGUUCUGUUUGUUAUAGCAUGUUGAUUGUACGAAUUGCUACUUUUGAGAAUCCUAGGAUCUAGUGUAUAACUCUUAUACAUUAUUAGCUUAAUUUUGAAUUCCUAUUAUUGGUUCUUUUAGAGUCUAUGAUGAUCCCAUUUGAUUUGAGAAUGUUCCAUGUGUGUGAGGUUGUUUGUAUAUUCCUUACUGCAUGGAUGCCUAGAACAUACUUGGUGUGUGUACAAAGCGAAAUAAAGAGUGUGGGUUUAGGAGAUGUUAUAGUAUUUCUUUGAUAGCCAUGUUUCAUACCCCUUUUGACCUACCAUUGUGCAUAAUCCUAGUUAGCCCCAUUGAUCUUUUAGCUUGUUUUCUUUGGUAGUCUCAUAUGUAGCCUAUAUCCCCUUCUUUGAUUGACCUUAAUUUGAUCCAAAACUGCUACGCCCUUUAGUGUAAAAUUAGUUGGUUAAGGAUUUGGAAAUGGAGGAAGGACAAUGGUGAAAUCAAAGCCCCAAAGUAAUAAUUAUUGGUAUGUACAAUUGAUUAGUUCUGGUUAGGAGUGAAAGAAAUUUGUUCUAAAAUUAAAUCAUGAAGUAAUAGACAAUACUCUAUUACAUGUUGUAUGUGAGUGAUCUUAAUAAGAUGGCGAAACACUAAAGAUAUGGGUAGACAAAAGUGGUGGAAAUUGGUUGUUAGAGGUGAAUUGAAUCAAAAGUGUAAUGUAUUAAAGUGCUUAGGGAAGAUAGUCACUAUUCUUGGCCAAAAUAGUUUCUACCCAUCCCUUAGCAUAAAUUACAACCCAUAAAGACCUAUUUCAUCUUGAGCCUUAACGUUAUAUUAUUAGUGGAGUACUACACUAAGGGAAAGCUUAUGGUUCAUCUUGUGUAACUUUUGAAUUCUUUAAGAGAGUGAGUGUAAUUUAAUUCUUGUACCAUUUUAUGAUAAACUACAUCUAUAUGAGUGAGCUUGGGUAACUCUAUUGUGGUGAGGGAACAUGUUUUAUGAUAGUUUGGUGAUUAAUAUGAUGUCUUUGAUUGAGCAAUAUGUAUGAGUUUGUCAACUUAGUGAGUCAAUUCUUGAGGCUAGGAUGUUUUAGAGUAGUGUUCUUGAGCUUUCAAUUGUGUUUAACAUGUACAAUAUAAGAACUUCUAUUUUUUAUAGUCAUUAUAGUAAUAGCUUGAGUGUCUUUCGAGUAGUACAAGUAUGGAGCCUUAUCUGAUUAGGAUCGUUAGAGUAAAGAGUUGUUCGAGGAUGAAUGAGGCUUUAAGUGUGGGUGAUGAUCUGGUGUGGAUUUAUGCACCACAGUAUUGCUAUCCGGGCAUUUUCCUUCUUUUGAGGACUUAUCUUGUUAUUAAUGAGUAAAUCAUUGUAUAAUUAAGAAUCUAAGUGUUAAAAUACUUGAUUACAAUGUUUACGGUGUGUUUCAAACAAGUUUGAAAUCAAUAUGGUCACUUACAGUUUUUAUGAGAAAACUAGUGUUACUAGCUUGAACUAUGUGUUGUUCAAGUUGAUUGCAAUGGAUUGUACUAUAUGUAAUGAGAUACUAAGGGUGUUAUUGUGUAAUUAUGUGUGUAAUAAAAUUUUUAUAGUGUUUAAGGUUUAAUUUGAACAGGCCAAGAGUCAAAACUAAGUUAAAGAUCUAAAGGACAAAACUAGUACUCUUAGCUUAAGUUACUAGUUUAUCGUCUUCGAUUGUUUGUUGUUUUGAUCUCUAAUUUGUAUUGGUUUAUAUUAUAGGAUUCCUUUUUAUUUUAUAAAUAUGAUAUAUGGAUGAUACACAAGCUUUAAAUAAAGUGGAAACAACACCAAAAGGCGUGGAAUGGAUGGACAAACACAUGGGAUAAGAUUUGACCCAAAACGGACAAUUUGAAGUCAUUGGCAUGACACGGACCUUAGGCACCACUUUAGGGACUUUUCAAGUCUAUGAAAUACUAAUGACCAAUUCUAGUAGGACACCAUGAUUUGGGCGUCCCAUAGACCCUAGGAAUCAUGAUAUGGGUGUGGUACGCCGCUGUAUCAAAAUCGGCAGCUUAUGUCCUCCUAUAAAUAGGACCCUGAGGAUGGAGAACAAUUCAAUUAUGGUUUUUAUUCUAUUAUUUUGGUUUUUGUACGGAUUUUUGAAUUUAUUCUAUCAUUUUGAUUAUGGUUAUGUACAUGAGUGUCUAAACACACUUUUCUGGGGUUAAGGCCAAGCACAUGAUUACUCUUGUUAUAAAUUGAUUUGGUUUUGAUUCGUUAUCAUAUUUGGUUGUUUAUUUGUUGUUAUUAUCACUAUUUUAAGUAUUCUCCACCCCUAAAAUACAUAUAUUGCCAUCUUGUGAGCCCGAGAGAAGGAAUCAGAGGAUAGAACGUGGGAUAUAUAGAGUAGGAUUGUAAUAUUCUACAUGAAUGAAGUUAUUUAGGAUUGAAAUAUACAUACUUGACCUAUUUGGUUUACUAACGGGAUGAAAUAUGAAUACAUUUAAGAUAGUUCUCACAUCCCCACUCAACGAAGUAGUUGUGGGUGUAAGUUAGAUAGGUGAUUAGAGGCUUGAAAGACCAUAAUCAUAAUACCAACUGUGUGAAUCAACAACCAAGAUAAGUAAUAUAACCAAUGAAGUUCAAUAGCAUAGUGUGAUUGUUGGCAAAGCCUUGGCCCUGCAUUGUUCCCCAUUUAUUGUCCAAGAACUAUUACUUUUCCGCAUUAUUUACGGUUACAUUUAGUUUUAACUUUUUAAAAUAUUUUGGUUACUUGAGAACUAGUUAAUGUUUAUAGCAAACUAUAAUUAGAUAGUUGUCAACACAAGUCGCUGUGGGAUAGAUAUUUGUCUUUUUAUAAGGCCACUAUAUUACCUGGUGAGACCAUGUACACUUGUGUGUGUGUGCUUGGGUGCAGCAUAGAUCAGGACAAUCUAUUUGAGGAUAUGAGGCAUUGUAUUAUCCGUGAUUAGGAGCUAAGUGGUGAGUCUAGGAAGGAUACCAUAGAUUCUGAGGGUAUUUUGAGGUAUGAUGGCCGCAAUUGUGUUUUGAGUUGAUAUUUCGUGAGGCUCACAGCUCCAGAUAUUCUAUUCACCCUUGUACAACUAAGAUGUAUAAAGACUUAAGAUAGCACUAUUGGUGGAGUGGGAUGGAGAGAGAUGUGGAAGAUUUUGAAACUUGUUGACUAUGUUGUCAGCAGGUAAAGGCAAGCAUCCAAGUUCGAAAGCCUGAUUUAGAGAUUUCCCAUUCCCAAGUAGAAGUGGGAGAGGGAGAGGAUCGCCAUGGAUUUUGUUAGUGGUUUGCCUCACACCUCCUUGGUUCCGAUGGUAUUUCGUUCAAUGUAGAUCAGUUGACCAAAUCAGCAUAUUUCAUUCCUAUUCAAAUUUUGUUCAGUGCCUAGAGGUUAGCUCAUAUCUAUGUUUGUGGGAUAGUCUACCUGCAUGGAGUACCCAUAUCUAUUAUUUCAUACUAGGGCUGACUGGUCACUUUUAGAUUUUGGAUAUCUUUUUAGGAGUAUGUAAGUACUUAGGUGGAUCUCAACAAUGCUUUACACCCUUAGACCAAUGGGCAGUCAGAGAGGACUAUUCGUAUCUCAAGUAUAUGUUUUGAGCCGGUAUUAUGGAUUUUUGUAGGUCAGUGGGAGUAGAACUUAAUUAUGGUGAAGUUUUUGUAUAAUAAUAGCUACUAUUCUAGUAUUGAGAUGGCACCAUUUAACACAUUAUAUGGUAGACAUUGUUGAUCUCUUAUUGGAUAGUUCGAGACCUUCGAGGUUAGACCCCAUGGUACUGACUUUCUUCAGGAGUCCUUGGAUAGAAUCAGGGUGAUUCAGGAUAUGCUAAGGCAUCUCUAAGUAGGCAGAAGGCUUAAGCAGAUUGCACAUUUUAUUCCUUGAUAUUUAAAGUUAGAGAGAAAGAAUUCCUCGAGUAUCGCCAGUGAAGGGUGUGAUGAGGUUCGGGAGGAAAUGCAAGCUCAUCCCAGAUAUAUUGGACCUUUUAAGAUCCUUCGCAUAGUUGGAUAUGUAACAUAUAAGUUAGCCUUACCCCCAAAUUUUGUUGUUAUUCAUCCUGUUUUCCAUGUUUCUAUGUUGCGGUGGUACAUUCCCAAUGAAUCUCAUGUGCUUCAGUGGGACAAUUCAGUUGGAUGAGAGAUUGACCUUCGUAGAGGAGUUGGUGUUCAUAUUAGCCAGGGAUGUUGGAUGGUUGCACUCUAGAGAGAUUUAAGUAAUUAAGUUUUCGUGGAGGCACCAUCCAGUAGAGAAGGCUACUUGGGAGAUUGAGGGCGAUUAGGUCCCAGUAUCAUCACCCCUUCAGGUACAUCCUAGCCCUUUACUUUUGUGGACGAAAGUUUUUUAGAAGUGGAUGUUUUAAAUACCCUCUAGGUCAGUUUCUACAUUUCCACACAUUUUCACCUUUUAGAGAUUUUGUAUAGCUACCCCAAGUCAUUUGUGACUUGUUGGAGCUGAUUUUUCAGUUAUAGGGUAGUUUAUUUGGUUUUUAGAGCCAAUUCCCUAUUUUGAAAUCUUCGUCUAAGAAUUCGCUAUCAAGUGUAAACUUUUGGUAAAUGACCUCGUAUGAUAAUUCUUAUAGUUUCAUCAUCUCCCAAAUGCCAAUUUUAGGCUAGGAUGAACUUUUGAUCAGGUCACAAGCCCUCCAAACUCAUUUCAGGCUAUCAGUUAGAAUAUUAUUAAAAUGGCAUAUGGUGUAGGGGCCACAUUUCAUCGCCAUUGAGUCCAAAAUGUCAAAUUUUAUAGGGUAGCACUGAUCAUUUGCAUUCACAAGAUUUUGAAAUCCCAAGGGGUCAGUGGAGACUUGAAAUUUUCCAUUUCCUAGCUAUUGUACCACUCAGCCGGUGCAUCUGUUAAAGCAGCACUUGGUCGCUUUAGCAUAGGCCACUUAAGCGGCCAACCAAUCUCUUAAGCGACCAGUCUUCCCAUAUGGCGCCGCUAAAGUGGAGCCUCAUCCACUACAGUAGAGGCCACUUAAGCAGCUCCUUGACUAUUUAAGCGGAAGGGGCAAGCUCAGUGGGUACCUCUUAUGUGGUACUUGGCUUCUUUAGAGGUGACUGCUUAAGCGAUCAAGUAGUCUCUUAAGAGACACUUGGGAGGCCAUUAAAUUCCACUCUUACCUCGUUUUCUCCUAUUUUUCUCACAAGUCUUAAGAGUUAAAACCCUAUAGAGUGUGGGAAAUUGGGAGAGUAAUUAUUAGGAGAUUGUGGGAUAAUUAUGAGCUCCGAUUAAUCUUUUCUUUAUCGAAAUCUUAGUAAGUAUUUAUUAAAUUCUUGGUUAAUUCUGUGAUAUAUGCCCAGAAUCCCUAGAUUUUUUAUGAUUAUAUUGAGAUAUUAUUUGAACUCAAAAUUUACCUAUUCUUGAGGGUAAAUGCUCCUUCAGCAUAGAAGGACAUGUUAACCAUUUCAAAAGUUCAACUAUGCACGCGAGCCCCGCAUGAAAUUUUUAUGUGAUUUUUGAUUCGAAGAAUAAAAAUACAUUAUUGGUACCAUUGUUCUUGUAUUGAUGAAGAUAUUAUCAAUUUAAUAGUAUGGAAUAAUGCAGAAGCUUCUCGAAAAGGGGAAUCAUGGAUUUAGCGAAUUUCACCGGGCUUUUUUCGGCGCCCAAGUAGGCUAGGUUUAACUUUAUCUUAGAUUGGGCUUAAUUAUAGUAUGAAAAUGAUAUUAUGCUAGUUUUGGGAUGGUAUUAGGUCUUGAAAGUAUAUUUGGCAUGAUUUACCUCUUUUAGCAGUUUAAGGAACCGCAUAAUUACCUUAAAUACUCGUUCUUUAGGUAGAUUUACUAUUGUAGGGCUAAAUUGUGGCUUAUUUAAUAUCUAUUGGUGAAAUUAGAUAUCCUAUACUAGUUUGGAGUAGAAUUUGCCUUAGAAUGGAUUUCAAGGAUAGAAGUUGGGCCCUCUAGCCUACCUUAGGCAAAGAUUGUUAUUAAUUCCUUAUAGGAUCAAUAUGCCUUGGGCAUUAUUGUAAUUACAUUCUUGAGCCUAUGGAGGCUAUGUCAUGACCCAAAUUCUCAAGUCAUGAUAGAACCUACUAUAACCCACCAUUAGACAAGCUAAACUCGUAGUCCGGAACUACUAGUAACGAACUACCCAAGGAAAUAAAGGUAAGAAUGUGAAAUAGAUGUAAUAAAAGUUCAAAUACCUAAUAUAGUUCCAGAACCUGGUGGUAUUAGUACAAGAUCUUCUAAUAUAGUAAUAGUACAAAAAGUGAAAUACCAAGGAAAUUACUCUGUUAAACUCAUCUCCGAAUACAACAUAGAGACUUGUCUAGUACAUUAGAGAGAGGAAAGUAAUACUACGAAUGUCAGGAUCUCACUCUAUGUUCCAAACCAUGGCUGCUCCGUAUGACACACACAUCAACGACGAUGACCCAUACUAUGAUCUGCAGGCUAAAAAAUUAUAGUAUGAGUACCAAACACAUGGUACUCGGUACCCAACUGCCAACUAAACUCCAAAGAUAAUACAGAUACAUAUGAUAUAUAAAUAGAAUGAAAAUUACACCGUACAACAAUCACUUAAUAAAGCUAGUGAGAUUGUAAGGGCAACUAUUCUAUUCAUAGCCAAAAAACUAGCAUAAUAAGGCUAAGGAAGUAUUAAGGAUGAAUUAUCCUAUUCCAACCGUACUGAGAAAUUUGAACUAUACCGUAUAUCACCGGCUAAUAUAAGAAUAAAGGGCGAAAGAAGGAUAUAUAAUAGUAAACAGGGCCAAGGAAUGAAUAUAUAAUCUGAAUAAAUGAAGAAAAGAAGGGGUAUACGGUAAUACCAUAGCUACAUAUAGCUAGUUAUACAUAUAUAUAUAUAUACAUAAACAAGGUCAACUCGAAGUGCAGCCUAAAUCAUAGGACUAGCAUUUUAAGACCUCAUAAUCAUAGCAGGAACUAGUGCUAGUAUACACAGGGUUUCUAAUCCAUAUGUCUAAUCUUGCAUAAUAAUUUAAUCAUAUAAUGAAAGAGGCCAGAAUCAUACCUCAGAUCUCAAAACCGGAUUGCUAGAAAAGCUGCCACAAACUAGCCAUAACAAUGAUUACAACAAUAAUAGUAACAAUAGCAAUGACAACGCAAGUAAUAGGCUAGUUCGAAUAACCAAUACAAAGCCGAGCCUUUCACAUACCCCCACCGCUUGUUCAAUCGACAUAAAACAUACCACAAGGCAUAAUCAUCACCCAUACCUAUGCAACGCCCUAUAAGGCUGAUAGAUAUAGCCGCAUACUGGUGAUAAGCAAUGUGCAUGCAAGAAUGAAUGCCAAGAUACAAUCUGUAACAUCAUAACUAAUCCAAAACACCUUAUGCAACCAAGUGUAUAAGCUCAUAUCAUCAGUAUCAUAAUCAAUAGACAACUCGAACUAGUAAAUAUAUAAUCAAUAGCAAGACUCGAAUUGAUAAAUAUAUAAUCAGUAGCCGAACUCAAAUCAAUAAAUAUAUAAUCAGUAGUCGGAUUUGAACUGAUAAAUGUAUAAUCAAUCCCCUCAAUAUCAUCAACAUCAUCAAUAUCCCAAAAUACAUAUCAUUAAUACCAUUAUCCUCCUCUAUCCUAUACCGAAGAGAUGUGUAUAUAGAUAUAUAUAUAUAUAAGUGUACAGACUUAAGUCAUAGCUAAAAAGACUGUAUAUUCAUAAAUCUAUUGCCUGGGGUAAACUUCAGGACUAAAUUAGUAUAAGAGGUCAUUUGGUGUAAGGUAUAAGGGAUAAGUAAUCCCGGGAUAAAAUAAAGGAUCAUUUUAUUCCAUGUUUGGUUGAAGGGAUUAAUCAAUACCGGGAUAACUAAUUCCACCAUUUAAACCAUAGUGAUGGGAUAACUUAUCCCAUAUGCAUGGUGGGAUAAGUUAUCCUAGGUAAUCCUGGGAUAACUAAUCCCAGAAUUAGUUAUCCCAGGAUAACAAUUUCCAAACCAAACGACCCCUAAAAGUGUAAAAAAGGUCAAAAUAUGUCACAGUCGAAGUAAAUGAUAGUAAUGAAAUCAUGGACCGGAAUCAAUCACGGCUAAAUCUUUAAAACACCAUUCAAUAUUUUAAUGCACAUAAUUCAUCCAUUUAGAUGGUAUGAUUCCCGUUAUAAAGAAAUCCAUUUUAAAAGUGAAGUGCGGGCCUUAAAUCCUUUUAUAGGAAAAAUAGUUGUAAAAUCAUAUUCACCUCACACAAAGAAUCGAAAUCAUCUAAAAUACACAAAUAUAGAAUCUACGUGUCAAAACAAAGCUAACAAUACCCAUAUUACCUACUUUGGGAUCGAGAUCAAAAUGGACCCUCAAAAUAGAUUUUCAAAAAAUAAAGGAAAAACUGGAUUUUUGUCCAAAAACAUAUUUUCCAAGAUUAAAGGAACUCAUAGGAGAAAACCCAAGUGAAAACGGGUUAAAAUUAGGGUAUGAAACAAAGAAAUGUUAUUUUUUGGGCCUUCUAGCCAAAAUUCCCAAUUUCCACUUUUAAAUUUGAGUUUAAACAGGACUUAAAUGAUAAAAAUCGAAAGAAAAUAAUUGAAAUAGAAUUUGGAGUUUAUCCAAGCUUAAAAAUGAAAGAAAAUGCCCAGAAACUCAAACCCCAAGCUCCAAGUCAUGAAAAUGGUGAAGAACCUUGAGAAAAAGAAUUACCUAGGUGUCAGGUGUUGCUUAAGUGGUCAAGUACGGCUUUAGUGGUACCUGCUUAGUGUGCCAGUCCACUAAAGUAGAUAAGAGCCGCUUUAGCACCCUCUGGUUAAGCAAAGGAGGGCAAAUAAAAUGCCCUUGCUCAGCUAGUAACCGUCUGCUAAAAAGGCAAAGUGGCGCUUUAGCUCCUGCUACUAAAGCGGCCAAAGUGGCUCUUUAGCGAUUGCACCAGCUUCGGAGACUUCAAAAAUUCCAAGUCUCCGCGAACCCCUCAAAAUUCAUCAGAGAUCCCAAUAAUACAAAAGAACUAUGCUACCCAAUCAAAUUCAAUGCUUUAGACUCAACGACGACAUUCGAUUCAAAAACAUCAUUUUCACAGAAUUAACCCAUGAGACCUAUUUUUACAACUUUCCAAAUAGGGGGUUGAAAUGAAAUUUAAAAGUCGUAAACCACACCAACCAUGUUGCCAACCUAAAAUUGACAUUUUGGAUCUGCUAGUGUAGUGGUUAUGCCAUCCAACGCACAAAUCAAAAGAUUUUGACCAAGGUUAACUAAUAGGACUUUAAGAUCAUCAAAAACCAUAAUCUCGCACAAAUCACGCCAAAAUGCAUUGGAAACCUUUCCAAUGAUCUCCACUUGAUAGAAAUACCAAAAUGCAACCACGGGGAGGGGUAAAAUGGUUCAAUUACAUAAAAUAAGUAUUGUGCGCAAUUACCAAGAAUUAGUUCAUUACAUCAUCCACUACUAAGAAUCUUGUUCGUCCUCAAACUAAAGGCAAUAGAAAUACUUGAAUCAGUGAAAAUCUAGGGAUAACUACUAUGGAUAUUUGACUCAACAUCCUAAGAAGACUCAUCUACAGGACGAUGUCUCCUUUGGACCUUAACCAUAGGAAUAACUCUAGAAUGCAACCAUUUAACAUACCUAGCUAAAAUAGAGACGGUCUCAUCAACAACAGACAUCCACUUAUCUAACUGAAUCGAAUCCCAAUGAAUGACAUGAGACUCAUCUAGAAUGUAAUGCUGAAUCAUAGAAAUAUGAAAAACUAUAUGAAUAGUUGAUAAAUCUAGAGGUAAUGCUAACUCAUAAGCCACAUCCCAAAUAGUUUGAAGGAUCUUAAAUGUACAAUAUACCUAGGGCUAAACUUGCCCUUUCCCAAAUCUCAUCACGUCCUUCAUGGGUGAAACACAAAAAGAUCACCAAUACUGAAUCUCAAGGAACAAAGUCUACGAUUCGUAUAACACGUUUGCCUACUCUGAGCCGCACGAAGUCUAUCCUUAAUGACCCAAAUUCUAUCCAAAGACUCAAAAAGUAAGUUUGUACCUCUAGGUCUAAUCGUGGAAACCUCAAACCAACCAACUAAAGAGCGACAACGCCUACCAUAUAAAGCCUCUAAAGGAACAAUCUCAAUACUGGAAUCAUAUCUAUAGUUAUACAUAAGUACACCAAAGCUAGAUGGUGCACCCACUGACCACCAAUGUCCAUUACAAAGUGCAAAUCAUAUCCUCCAAAACCUAAAUAGUCCACUCUAGCUGACCAUCGGUCUAGGGGUAAAAUAUUGUACUAUGAUCAACUCGGGUACCUAACUCUUCAUAAAAAGUCUUCCAAAAGUGGGAUGUGAACACUGAACCUUGAUCUGAGAUGAUAGACACUAGCACACCAUGAAGAUGAACUACCUCAUAAAUAUAAAUAUGGUCCAACCUCUUAGAACUGAACGAGUCCUGAACCAGAAUAAAAUAAGCAUAUUUAGUCAACUGAUCCAUGAUGACCCAAGCACUAACAAAACCAUAAGAAGUACGAGGCAACCCAGUCAUAAAAUUCAUAGUGAUCCAUUCUUAUUUCUACUCAGGGAUGGGUAACUUCUGAAGCAAACCACCAAGUCUCAAAUACUUAGCCUUUACCUGUUGGCUACAUAGGCAACGAGCUACAAAAUACAUUAUAUCCUUCAUCUACUACCCCACCAAUAAUGCUGCCUCAAAUCAUGAUACAUCUUAGUUACCUGGAUGGAUAGAAACCCUUGAAUAAUGAGCCUCUUCCUAAAUGAAUCUAAUCCAAUUACCCGCUCUCGGCACAUAAACUCAGCCAUCAAUUCUCAAGAUACUAUCUAGAUCAAGCGAUACUUUCUUAGCCUCACGACUCAACACCUUAUCUCGAAUCACGCUCAACCCAAUGUCAUCAAACUGGUGGGCCCAAAUCUGCUCCAUCAAGAAAGACCUAGACUACACGAAUGCAAAAAUAUACCAGGUAUCAAAACAUCAAGCCUAAACAUCUAGUUAGACAAGCUCUAAAACUUUAAGGCCAAAGUCCUCUCCUGGGUUAAAAGAUGUGGCAAGCUACCCAUUCUAGUGAACUUUCAGCUCAAGCCACUGCAACCACAUUAGCCUUGUGCAGAUGAUAAAGAACAGUUAAGUUAUAAUCCUUAAGCAACUCAAGCCAACAAAGCUACCUCAUAUUAAUAUCUCAGUGGUUGAAGAAGCACUAAAGGCUACGAUCAACUAAGAAUAUCUCACAACAAACACCAUACAAGUAGUUCCUCUAUAACUUCAAAAAAAAAACAACCCUGCACAACUCUAAAUCAUGGGCAGGGUAAUUCCUAUCAUGGGGAUUUAAGUAACGAGAAGCAUAAGCAAUCACCUUACCCUAUUGUAUUAACAUAACACCAAAACCAACACUAUAAAUAUCACAAAAGAUAGUAGAACCCACGCCCUCCUUGGGCAAAGUCAGUAUAGAAGCUGAAGUCAAAAAAUUCUUAAUCUUUUGAAAAAUCACCUCACAAGGAUCAAACCACUGAAAGGAAAUCUUCUUUUGAGUCAGCUUGGUCAAUGGACCUAAAAUAGAUGAAAAAACCUCAACAAAACACCGAUAGUAUCCCACUAAACCAACUAAACUCUAAGUAUCGAUAGUAAAAGUAGGCCUAGCCUAGUCACAAACCACUAUAAUCUUUGAUAGAUCGUCCAUAAUACCGUCAUUGGUUGCCACAUAAGCCAAGAAAGAAACAGACUCUAACCAAAACUCAAUCUUAGAGAACUUAGUAUACAAAUUCUUAACCCUCAAUCUUUGAAGCACAAUCUACAAAUGCUCCUCAUGAUUUGCCUCACUCUUGUAAUAAACCAAGAUAUCAUCUAUAAAUACAAUGACAAAAGAGUCAAGAUACAAUCAAGAAAUCCUAUUCAUCAACUUCAUAAAUGCAGUUGGGGAAUUGAUCAACCUGAAAGGCAUGAUAACCAAGAACUCAUAAUGAUCAUACCAAGUCCAAAAAACCAUCUUCAGAAUAUUUGAAGCUCUAAUCCUCAAUUAUGGAUACUCGAACCUCAAAAAAAUCUUCAAAAAAAAAUACACCCUACAGUUGGUCAAACAAAUCAAUUAUACGAGAAAGAGGAUAAUUAUUCUUAACUGUCACCUUGUUCAACUACAUAUAAUCAAUAUACAUACAUAUAGAUACAUCUUUAUUCUUCAACAAAUAAGAAAGGCACACCCCAAGGUUAUGCACUAGGUCGAAUAAAUCCCUUAUUUAAUAACUCCUGCAACUGACCUUUUAAUUUCUUUAAUUCUAUUGGGGCCAUCCUAUAAGGAUAAAUAGAAAUGGGCUUGGUGCCCAGCUCAACAUCAGUAAUAAAUUCAAUAUCAUGAUCCAAAGGCAUACUAGGAAACUCCAUAGGGAAAAUAUCCAUGAACUCACGGAUAAUACAAAUAGAGUAUAAGAAAGGGAAGGAUCAAUAGUAGCAUCAUGAAUAUGGAACAAAUAAGACAAAGAUCCCCUCUCUACAAAAUGAUGAGGCUGAAAGAAUGAUAUGACUCUCUUUCGACCUGAAUAAAGCACACCCUUCCAAGCUAACCUUGGCACACCCAGCAAAGCUAAAGUCACGGUCUUAGUAUAAUAAUCUAGGAAAGAAUGAUAAAAAUCUAACCAAUCCAUACCCAGGAUAACAUCAAAAUCUACCAUAUCAAGGACAAUCAAAUUUACCCAAGUUUCACACCCUGCAAAGGUCACGACACAAGAUCAAUACACCCGAUCCACUACUAAAGAAUAUCCUAUGGGGGUAGAUACACAAAUAGGUACAUCAAGAGGCUUAUUAUAAAAAUCAAAACCCAAAGAAAAAUAUGUAGACAUAUAAGGUAAAGUCGAUCUCACAUGAAAUAACAUAGAUGCAGAUCUAAAAUAAAUAGGGAUGAUACCUUUGAUAAUAGUAUCGAAGGUCUCUGCCUCUAGCCUAGUAGUUAUACCAUAGCACUAACCAUGUCCGCCAUGAACUGAGUAACUCUAUAACCACUCCAUGGGCACCACUACCUAUUCCUAUCACACCUCUAGUAGAACCUCUGCUAAUAAUAGCCGAUAUAGGAGUAGUUCUAAAAACAUGGUGGAGAAGGUCCUUGACCAGAUGGUCAAUUUUAUCACACACAUAGCAAAUAGAGUGGCCUAGCUUGAGGGAAUGAGGAAUGAAUAAACUAGGACAACCAACUAAAGUUGCUGGAAUAGAACACCCAUUACCUGAACUCUACAAGGCUAUCUACACUAGUCUACCAUGAUAGCCAUAAAAACCUCUAGAAUCUCUACCUCGAGAAAUAUGACCGGUUAACUCACCCUAAUAGUGCACCUUCUUUGUACCUCCCUAUGAAACUCGAAGAAUAGACUCAGUCAUCUUAGCAUAAUCCAUAAUACUCUAAAAUGCCAUACACUACAAUCUGAGUUAUAGCAAGUUGAAGAGAAACAUCAAACCUCUUUACAAAAUUCUCAAUCUUCUCAGACUCAGUGGCAAUACUGGUAUGAAAAUAUCUAUAUAUUGUAUGGAAACAUGCCUCAUACACCACAACAGUAAUGGAGCCCUACUUCAAGCGAUCAAACUUAUCUUUUAUCUGAUCCUUCAAACUAAAAGGCAUAAACUUAUCGUUAAAGGCCUCAAUAAACUGAUCCCAAGUUAUCUCUACUAAACCAAGAAGUCAUCAGUUAAUAAGUGACCUUCACCAAUAUCUAGUUGUAUCUCUCAAUUAAUAAGUAGCAUAGGUAACCCUAUCUGAUUCAAGUGAACCAAGGUUAGACUUCUCAUGAUAAUCUAUCAAGAACUCAUAGGCAUCCUUGCCUACGACAUAACUAAAUUUGACAAGAGCCAAAUGGGUGAAUUUCUCAUACCUCUUUUGAUUCUUAAAAGACAUAAAUAUACUUAAAUAAAUAGGAGACAUAGUAAAUCUGGCCUGUUGAGAACACACCUACAUACUCUACAUAGAACAAGGUUAAACUUCAGAUCUUGGAACACCAUACUUAGAUAUAGGCACUAAAGAAAGAACAAUACUUAGAGUGUGUAGAGUACCAUAAAAAGAUGUUAAUAUAAUAGAAGGAUCCACACUCGAGAUCGGAGGAACACUAAAAGCAAAUUCUAUCGUAGAGGGAGGUACUAUACUCAAAGAUGGAGGAACACUAGGUACAUUCACAAGAGCACCCUCCAAAUGGGUCAACAACUGACUUAAUAACCCCUUUAAGACUAGGGUAGAAGAACUCUGUAGGACUAGGCUAGGCCUCAUAACUCUGACAUGCUCAAGUUGAAGCUUAGGCGAGAAUCCCCUAGUGUUGUCUCUAGAUAGGGCAAAUCCUCAUACCCGUCCUCUACCUUAUGACUUUUCACAACUCGUAACUCUCCCUCUAGAUUGGGCUCUCUCAUCUGAUAAAAGCAUUGAAUCUCUGGCGUCAUAGGAUCUAGUCCUCACUAUUUUCAUAAAACACUAUUUAGGACAUAAGGUAUGAAAGAUCCACAUGAUAUAAAAUGAAAUAUAGGAAGUUUACUAAAGAUAUCUUAUAGAUAAUCAAAGAUAGAUACAAACGUCUUCAUACCAAUCCAUGAGACUCGAAUAAACACCCUAUCCAUAUACUAAUAAGACCAAUAAAAAUCUAGCUCUGAUACAAAUUUAUUAUGACCCAAAAACCAAGGAUGGAACCUGUCAUAGCAAGCCUUGACAAUUAAGUAUAUCACCCAAACUUUUAUAAAAAGGUAAAUCAAUACUAAAAAAACCUAGCCAAGGCGUCUCGAUAGAAGCCAAAAUAGAAAAAAAUGGUAAUAAUAGAAAUACAAUCAAAGAUACCAAACUAAAAUCCCAAAAAAUGGUGUCACAAUGUAAGAACUACUAAAUACAUCUCGAAUGUUAAAAUAUACAAUUAAAGUCCAAAAAAGAUCAAAAUCUGUCUCAGAAUAAAGUUAAGACAUAAAAAUAGAUAGGAAGAGGUAGUAGGCCAACUUUUGAAAUGUAGGAUGUUUGCUACCUCAAAGAUACUCCAAAUGCUACCUCAAUUAGCUAUCCGUGCGACGCACUCAUACCUAGAUCUGUACUAAGAGGGUGUAGUAGAAAUGAAUAUGGUCCACUUAUACUUAGUAGAAAUCAUAGCCGACUAGUAAAGUAGAAAAUAAAGCAUAUAAACACAAACUAUAGGCACUUCACUUGCAAUCAAAAACUUUUCCAUAUGGUAGCCCACACUGUCUCUACUAACAAUUCUACUAUAUACAUAUAUAACAAAUACUAAUGUAAGAAAAAACACAAAAAUACACGUAUACCAAGUACAAGUAGGGGAAAGGAUUAUAAAGAAAUAUAUAUUGCAUUAUGAACAAAAACAAAACACAGAAUAAGCACAAUAUAUAUGGAAUACAAUAAAGAAGAUGAUGAUGAUGAUUAUGAUGAGGUCAUUGUCUAACUUCCAUAUACACCUAUCGAGAUGUGAUUAGGAUCUGUGGGGGAUUCAUCGACCCAUAUACAAAAAAUAUCAAAUACCAAUAUCUAUAACUCAUCUCCAGCACAUACAUUGAUAGAGGGUUUUUAAAGAUGUCAUAUUUUCUGUUAGAAAAAGCUAGUGUUUCCAAUAUUUCCAUGAUGGUACUAAUGUUUCAUGAAUGAAUAUGAUAUGAGGAUAUAAUUAUUAAAACUGAUCAAACUGAUAAUAUCCAAUAUCCAAUCGACAUACCAACUAUGUGACCAAAAACCCACUCAAAUCAACCAACUAUUCAUGAUAUAAUAUAAUCCAUAAAUCAUCAAGUGAAACAUCCAAGAGAAUAUCAUUGAUACCACAUAAAUCCUAAAAUAUAGGCUUUUCCAAACAAAAAAGAGUGCAAUCAAUCAUUCAUAUAUCAAUAUCAGGCUAACAACAUCAUACAAGACCCCACGUGGUGACGCAUAUAAAUAAUGUCUCAAAAUCUCCAAAUAUAUUCUAUAUAGGCCCGCACAAGGGCACAUAAAUAAACUAAAUACAUUCAUCAUAUAAAACCUCAUAAACAUAUUUCUGCAUUAUUAUUAACUACCCAACCCAAUUUAAAGAAAGUUAAAUCAUAUCCAAACUCAAAUAUUGAAACAAAAAAAUAAGACCUUAUGAACAAUCUUUCACCUUAUGCACGGAUCCAAAUUUAGCAAAAAUACAUAAAUAUAGAAUCCACGCAUCAAAAAAAACUAACUAUACCCAUAUUGCCCACUUUUGAAUCAAGGUCAAAAUAGACCCUUAAAAUGAAUUUUUGAAAAACAAGGUUAAACCCAAAUUUUCAUUAAAAAACAUACUUUACAAGAUUAAAGGAACUCAUAGGAGAAAACCUAAGUGAAAAUUGGUUGAAAUUGUGAUUUAAAUUAAAGGAAUGCUAUUUUUGGGGCCUUUCAAGCCAAAAUCUUCAAUUUCCACUCUUGGAUCAAAGUUUAAACAAGCCUUAAAUGAUAAAAAUCAUAGAAAAAUAAUUGAAAUAGGUAUUAGGUGCUUACCCAAGCUUUAAAAUGGAAGAAAAUGACCAAAAACUAAAACCCCAAACUUUAAGGCUCGAAAAUAGUAAAAGAAACAAGAAAAGAAAUUUAUAUACCCAGGUGCCAGGUGCCGCUAAAGUGGAUAAAUGGCUUCUUUAGCGGUCACUGCUAAAUCGGUCAAGUACUAUCUUAGCGGUACCCACUUAGCAUGUCAGUCUGCUAAAGUGGAAAAGUCUAUUUUAGCGUCCUCCUCUUAAGAAAACAAGGGAUGCUAAAAUUCCCUUGCCCAACUUGUAGCCAGCUGCUAAAGCAGCCAAAGUACACCUUUAGCGCAUACACCAGUUGAGUGGUGCACCAAUUGUGGAGACUUGAAAAAUUUUAAGUAUUUGCGGAUCCAUCGAGAUUCAUCUGGAUCCCAAAAAUGGAAACAAAGUAUAUUAACCUAUCAAAUUUGAUGUUCCGUACUCAACGACGAUAUCAAAAUUUUGAAAAAAAAAAUUAUUUUCAUUAAAUUGACCCUCUAGACCUAUUUCACAACUUUUCCAUUAGAGGAUCAAAAUGAGCUUUAAAAGCUGAUAAAUCAUACCAACUAUGUUAGCAAUCUAAAAUCAAUGUACCAGACCUACUGGCGCAAUCUAUUUUACAGGCCAAUGCAUAGAUCAAAAGAUGUUGACCGAAGUCAACUAAUAAGCCUUUAAGAUGAUCAAAAACCGCUAUCUUACACAAAAUACACCAAAAUGCAUUGAAAACUUUGUCAAUCAUUCCCAGACCUCAAAAAUACCACAAUACAACCAUGGAGAGGAGUAGAAUGAUCAAACUACAAAAAAAUAAAUAUUUACACAAAUCACAAAGAAUCAAGUCAUUAUAGUCCUCAUGUUUUGAGGAGCUUGAUUAUACUUUAUUUAGUAGUUAUAUUUAUGUCCAAUUCAGACUUCAAGGUUUUGGGUCAACUGUGGCCUAUCCCAAUGACUCUUUUGUAUGAUUAAAGGCUUGUCUAGACUUAGUAGUUGUGUUCAAUUAUCAUAAUAUUUUAGAUGAUUUGCAAUUGUUAAUGAAAUUAUUAGGCUUGUUGAUCUAAUUCUGUUUUAAGCUUAUGAAUUAUAAAUUUUGCUUAUGGUUUUAAAUGUUUAAAAUAUGUAUUUCAUGCUAUGCUUGAACUAUGGGUUAGCUUGGGCUACUUUUAAGCUAGAGCAUAAUGUAACGUUCUGGGGUAGUCUCGGGUUGUUACAGAUGUCAACAAUAAGGGAGUUGGGUUAACAAUUUAACUUAAAAUAUUUAUUUGGAUAAAGGAUUAAAGUUUGAAUUAUUUUGAAACUUUGAUUUUUAGUUGAUUUCAUUUUUUGUAAUAAAUCAAAUGGACAAAUCUUAAUAAAUUCUAUUCAUUUCAAAAAAAUUAUGAUUUUUCAAGUAACACUAGAAGUUUUCUUAAAGUAACUUUUUCCAAUGUUUAGCUAAAAUGGAAUUCAUUGGGAACCACACUUUGUAGAUUUUUUAAAGUGUGUAACACCUUCUUUUGAAUUUAGAUUGAGCUCUUGCCUAUUAUCUCAUAACUACUCUUGUUUAAAUGCUUUUCUUAAUUUCCUAAAAAAAUUAAGUGGUUACUCAAUGUCCAUCAAAUUAUUUUCAAAUAGAUUAUUUUGCCAGAAGUUAUGAAAAGGUUUUUGAAAUUUUGAUAUUAAAAAUUGUUUAUAAUUAUAAUGAUUCUUUAUGUCAUAAUGAUAUUGUCAUGCGUGCCAAAUUGAGGUCAAGCUUCUUCCCGAAUAAAGUAUUAUAAUUUUUAGGCAAGGUUAGGAUGAAAGCCAUAUGUAGUGUGGUCUAGAUUAAUCUGGUAAUGAUUUGAUUGGUGGUUAAAUGGUUCUAGAGAAUAUUUGAAACUUUCAUAAAUUAAUUUGGGUUAGUAGAACUCCGAAUAUAAUGGAUGAUUUAUGAGAUUUUUGGACUUUUUGCCUCCGCAUAGGCCACUAUAGCGGGAGGCAAGCUGCUACCACUUUCCCUCUAUAGCGGAAAUAUUUACAUCAUAGCAUAAGUCAACUUUUGUCAAUCCCAUUAGAGCAGGUGAAUUCCGCUAUAGAGAUGCUACUAUAGCGGGAAUCAGACCUCUAUAGCUGGAUACUAGCUGUUAAAUGUAGAAAAUAGACUUAAAAUACUAUUUCUAUUCUAACUUCUUUCAAGAAUUGGGCGAGGCGAUUUAGGGAUAAUUCCGCCUACUUUCAACCAAAUUUCUUUGUUGACGUAAGUAAAUCCCUCCUCCCUAUUUAGCUAGUGUUUUGAAGAUUAAUUCUUAGAAUUGUUUGGUUUUGAGUAUGGGGAGUUUUACUUGACCUACAUAUUUUUUGGUAUAAUUUAGUGAAGUCAAGGUGAAAUCCUUGGUUUUUGAUUUAGGUGGAUAAUUUAUGAUUGCAUGAUUACAAUUCAUCUUUAGAAACGUGAAUUUGGUAGAAUUAAGGUAGAUAAAGGUAAUAAAAAUCCUAGAAGAGGGGAUGAUCAUGAUUUUGGUCUUGUGAUUCUGGGAUUAGUUUAUAUCUUUAUAAUUGUUAGGUCAUUAUUUGGAUGCUGAUUAUAUUAUUCUUUUUAGACCACAACAAAGUGGAAAUUGUAAGAAAGGGCAAAGCUAAAAGUUUUUUAAAGUGCGUGACUUGGAUUAAGGUAGAUGAUGGUUGAAUUAAAUUUAAGACUCAAUUUAGUUUAUAUGAAUACGGUAGAUAUCUCUUUAUCUACCUGUUGCAGUGGAUGAUGUGCAUAUUAACUUAUUGAAUAGUAUUAUAAGUUAUUAUUCACCUAAAAUAAGAUUGUGUAAGAGGACUUGUUUGAAAUGCAACUGUAGUUGUAUUAUCUCAUAUUAUGAUUGUAUAUGUUAUUAUAUGGAUUUAUAUUGUGAGAUGAAUCCAUUCAGGCCAUCAUCAUGAGAUUGGUGGAAUUCAAGAGGUAUAAGGGUGGGGAUUUUGUAAUAAGGAUGGUAUAACAUUAUUUUGGCAUAAGGAUGAUAUACACUAGAUGUCUAGGUUAUUGUGAUACAUGGAUUGAGCUUGUCUUCUGCGGGUAUUGGAUAAUGGACAACCAUAAGAACCAUAGCAUAUAUGUAUAAGGUAUUGUUGGGUUUGAUGAUUCCAUGAGCUGAUCAAGUUAUAGUGUUGUUGGUAUUUUGAGUUUCUUAAGUGAAUUUGUGAUAAUAUUAUUGUUAUUGGAUCCUUGAGUAGUCUGGUCUAUUAACAUACUUGAAUUAUGUAAAUACUUGCAGAAGUUUGAUGAGAACAUAAUUAUGGCAAGGUUAAGUUUAUUAUUGAUAGUCAUGAUAAUGACUUGGUGUAUUGUCUGUAUUGUCUUAUACUUGUCUGAUUUACUUGGUUAUUAGCAAGAAAAAACUAAGUGAAGGUAUAAAUGCCAAGUGUUACAUGAUUGUAGUUAUUUACAAAUUUUUGAUUAUGUGUUAAUUAUGUCUUGAUUAUGUCCUGAGCCAGGAGUUUAUCAGAAAUAGCCUCUCUACUUCUUCGGAGGUAGUGGUAUGGACUUCAUACAUUCUACCCUCCCUAGACCCGACUAUGUGGUAAUAUACUGGAUUUUUUGUUGUUAUUGUUGUGGUUUUCUUGUCACAACCCGAAUAUUGAGGUCAUGAUGACACCUACCUUGACAAGUUUUGGUAGGAAAACCAAAGAACUCACCAAAGAACUAAAUAUGAUAAAUGAAGAAAAAUAAGUAAAAUACGAGACCUCUAGAAUGAAGUCAAGACAUAGUACUCAUAAGUAUCAUAAACAUCCAAAUAAACACCAAUUUCCAAAAGUCUGGUGUCAUAAGUGUAAAAAGCAUCCAAUACAAACCGAAUCUAAAAAUAAAAAAGCUUAUCUCUGAAAAGAAAAUAAAGACCACAUAUUAUUAGAAGAGGUUUGAAAUCAUGCCCCAAACUUUAGAGCUCAACCAUACCUCGAAUAUCAACUCUGAUAGCACAAACCCAGCUGCUGGAAGUUGUACUUAAACUAAGAUCUACACUAAAAAGGCAUAUAGGAGUUAGUACAAUUUAUUUAUACUUAGUAGGUUUCAUAGGCUAACUGGGCAACGCAGAAAUUAAUAAAAGUAAAAAAAUAUACUAUGAGCACAUAACCAACAAAGAGAGAAGUUUCCAAAUAAUAGUUUGCACUAUCUCCACAAAUAGUUCAACAAUAUAAAGAUAAUAAUGAAAACUACACACAGUACAUAACUAAGGAAACUAACUACACAUAACACAUAGGGAAAAUACAAUAAUGUAAUUCAAUGCAAUAAUAUUAUGAUUAUGAUGAGUGUAAGCCAUCACAUGAAUUUUUGUAUACACCUUUUGAGCCUCAAUGCUUCAAGGCAGUAUCCAUGAGGGGUUCACAGUAUGUAUAAAUUCUCAUAUAUCAAUUCAUCUCUCGGCUAAUCUUCAUGAAUUAAGAAUUUUGUAAAGUGUCGUAUUCACCUCUCUUGCUAAUGUUCAUGAAUCAAAGAUUUUAUAAAGUAUUUUUAAGUGGUACAAAUUUUCAUGAAUAUGAAUGUAUAAGAUGAGUAUGGAUGCUCACAAUCAAGUCAAUAUGACGAUAACGAAUCAACUCAAUAAUGAUAUAAAUGAGUUCAAAUCUCCUCAAUAUAAUACUCCCUCUGACCUAAUUUAUAUGACACACUUUUCUUUUUAGUCAGUCCAAAAAAGAAUGACAAAUAUCUAUAUAUAGUAACAAUUUAAUUUUAAAAUACCUAAUUUACCCUUAAUGAAAUGAUUUAUAACCACACAAACAUUUAUGACUUAUUUUAGACAACAUGUUUCAAAAGUCUUCUUUUCUUUCAUAAACUUCAUUUCAAGUCAAACUACAUCACAUAAAUUAGGACGAAGGGAGUAAUUGCUAAGACAAGAGCCCACCUCGACACCACUAAAGUGAAUAGUCUUGUAAAUAUCAAUAAUAUAAUCUCAAAAGCUCUUUUUUCAGGUAUUACUAUCAUGGUAAAAGGCAAAUAAUAUUUAGAAAAGCGUAUAAUAUCUAAUUAAGCCCCCACACGGACAACACAAUUAUAAUAAUGACAAUUAAUAAACAAAUAAGGCCUAUAAUGUCAAAUAAAACCCUCUCUCAAGCAUCACCACACUUAUAUUCUCUCAAGUCAAUAACUAUAUGCAAAUAAUCCCCCACACCGGCAUACAAGAAUAAUAAUAUUUUUGAAGUACCACUUUACUUACUAAAUUCCCUAACCCAAAGCAUACUUUACCAGAAAUUUAACUACUUUGCCCACUCUGAAGAAAGUUAGUCAUCACCUACCUUAAAAAAUUCAAGUUUAAGUCUUUAAUGCGGAACCUUUCCUUUGUCAGUGGUCAUGACAUAAGCUAAAACUAUCAAAAAUAUAAUCUACAUAUCAAAAGAAAGGUAAUGAUACCCAUAUAAGCUAUAUUUUAAUUCGAUCAAAAAAUUGUUCGAUAAAUUAAUUUAAAAAGGAAAGGGGUAAAAACUAGAUUUUUAUUUUAGAGAUAUAUUCCCCAAGCCAAGAGGAGUCUAAUGCUAAAAAUCUAUGCAAAAUGAGUUGAAAUCAGAGUUAUAAUAGAUGAAAACCCAUUUAAAAGUUUAUUGAAAAAAUCUCCAAUUUCUAGUGUGAAAGCAAGAUUAGAAGGUUCAUUUGAAGAUAUAAUCAAUGAAAAUUAAUAGUAAUGAAUUUGAAGCUUAUUCAAACACAAAUGGUGAAGAAAACCCUAGGAAUCACUCUUUUUUGAAGCUCCCAAGUCCAACAAAGAUGAAAAAUUUUGAAAAUGAGCUAUUUAUAUUAUUUUGUGAAUAGUUCCUCGCAAUUGUGGUCCUUAACCUCACAAUCGUGAGGGUCAAUGUUGACUUAGGUUAGAUUUCUCAUCGUGAUCAUGGCAGGUGGGCCUCACAAUGGAACACGUGGUUUGACAUAUCUCAAUGGACAGUCUAUGGGCAAAAUAGGAAAGUAAAUAGGGGGAUUUAUUUGUAGUCAUCUCGAACUCAGAACAGUAUUAACUUGGUUGAAGGUCAGUUGUAAGUGAACACUAGAUUGUGUUCCCCUAAAAUCUUAACUUUGUAGGUUUAUCGUGCGUUGUUGAACCAACCCAAUAUCUUGCAUGCAGAAUCGGUAAGUUGUGUACCUCUUACAGUCUUUUGGAUGAGUAAAAAUAUUUCUCCCUUUACCUAUGGAGUCAUAGGAUGUUGCGUUACUAAACCUGACCAUGGUUCCAGUUAACUAUAACCUUUUGAGUCUAAAGUUAUUAGAUAAAGGCUAAUAAUCAUCCAGAUAUACCAUUGUUCUAAAAUAAAGCGGCUAUUAACUCCCAAAUUGUUGUGGUCUUUAUCUUUUCGUAGUUACUACCCCUUUUUGAGAGCAAGUAGUAAUAUCUAGGAAGGAUCCUAAUGUGUGCACCCAUUAAUAAAUCUAUCAUAUCUAAGAUAAAGUAAUGCAUGCCAUGGGUAUUGGUUCCUAUCAACAAUCGCACUUCCCUUACUUCAUCAAUUUACCAGUGUUUCCACAACACUAGUUAUAGGUUUUAGUCACUUAUGAUUGUAAAGAAAUCAAUAACAUUCAUGAUGGAAAUCAAAGAAGAAAUCACAAUGAUAAGAUGAAGAAAACCCAUAACCAUAAGCUGAAUAAUCAAUCAAAUUCAUUACAAUGAAAUAGAAAGAUCAAAGAUGGAUCUUGAAAUCAAAAUAUGUUUCUAAGUGUUAAAAUUGCCGAACCUUUACUAAAAAGUACAUAAAGGAGUAUUUAUAGUACAAGAGAUAAUCCUAAAAACUAAGCCCAAAUGAAAUAGGAGAAAAUAGGGUCGGUGGCUAUCCGCUUCUUAUACGUGCAAUUGGGUCAUGGCCCCAGGUUGUACCUGUGGUCUGCUCUGAGGUAGGUAGAAACCAUAGCUACCUGAUGGGGAAUUUCCUACAAGUCAGCUCUUGAUAUUUUGGACAUUCUGGUACUUGCUUUGUUUACCUACAGUCCAUUGGUCAAUAUGUGGUUCGUAGGUUGACUUAGUAAGUGUCGGGAGUCAGUUUUUCAGCUCUACUUUGAAUCUCGAACAUGCAUUGAUCACAAUCAAGAUGAAAAACAUCCCAAUCAUCCAUAAUCACUCCAAAAGUGGCCAAAAUACCUUUUUCACCAUUUUCACGAACUUAUCAUCCAAAUCAUGGUUUCCUACAAAACAUACCCAAAAUGGAUCAUAUCUAACAAAAUGGCCUCAUAAACUUGAAUAUUUUCCUUAUUUUAAGCAUUGAAAGUUCUAUAUUUCUAUUGCACAUCAACACCCUCAACAUAGAAUGUUUACAUGUCCUUGGGUAACAAAAAGUCAACAAAACAAAAUUGAUGCUUAACUAAGAGAAUCUAAGAUAUUCAAGGCAAUUAGUCCUGACAUUUAGUUCAAAUCACAACAUCCCCUCCUAUAACUCUUUUCAAAACUAACUAAGUAUGAAUAUGAAAUACAACAAUGUGACAUAAAGAAAUUAAGGAAUGGAAACUACAUUAGCAAUAGAAAAUAACUUAUAUUUACAAAUUACACAACCCAAAAAAGCAGAUAGCUAGCAACAUGACUCAAGUGCCCUCACAACAAAAAUGUCCCACUCACUCAUAUGAAAUAAUGCAUGUCAAUUCAAGGAUGGUUAAGAGACACUCACACUUAACAAAGAAGUUCCAAUCAAUGCAUGUUAAAUACCAUAUACUAGCCCUUAUUUUCUUUACUUUAGGAUUCAGAUAGUCAAGUCAGGAUCACUAUAGGGCUUUUCUAGGCUUGUAAUGUAGGCUUGGGGGCUCGUAUGAUAGAUAUGGAUAUUUAAAGUGACUAAGCCUCUUUUGCAGUACACUAACUUUUGGGGUCUCACUUACUAGCCAACUUAUUUUUAUUCCACCCUUAUUUCUCCCUUUUAUUCUUUUAUUGCAUAUUCAAGUUUUGUAUGGUCUUUUAUUCUUUUUUUUUAUUUUUCAUAAUUUUUAUUUUUCUUUACUUUUUAUUUUUCUUUUUCUACCACACCCAUCCCUACUAACAUUUUUUCUUAUUUUACCAUUCUUCAUAACCAUUUUACACUAUGCACCCCUAUGAUGGCCAUUCUCGGGUUAGGAUUUUUUCUUGAGUUAAGAUGUAUAAUGUCCAAGGAGGACUAGGGCCAAAAUAGGUUCAUUGUGACACAAAUGGUAAGGAGAAAGGAGUAAUAAUAAACAUAGGCUAUAAGGCUCAAAACAAGGAUCAAGGGAUACAAUUCACACAUGGAAGGUCAUUUAGGUUAAAAGUGGAGUAAUAUACAAAAUGGCAUGUGAUCCUUUCCUAACCAACUAUCCUUCAACUUAGGCAGGACUAACCAGGAUAGUUUGGAAUUUAACAUACAAAGAGAACUAGGUAUUAUCUCUCACUCACGUAGCACAGAGUCAAUAUCAUCAACUACUACCUAUUCAGUUCAUGCAAUUUUUAGAAAAUGGUAAUCAUGUCCCUAAUACUAAUGCCAUAACAAGAUCCAGAAAAUUCACAUAUAUGUACAUCACUCAUAGUUCUAAAGCAUAAUUUUUUGGAGGGGUGUUCAAAAUUAGUAAAAAUCUGACUACUUCCCUAAAUACUCAAAAUUUACUAAUUAAAAAAAACAUCAAAAUACAAAAAAAACACAAUAUGACACAUAAUUAUCCUAGACAUACCAAUUCUACAAUAAUACUAAGGUCGACAGGAAAAGAAGCAUGGCAACAAAAAUCCACAAAAGGAUGGUAUGCUCAUCCCUAACUAAAAAUUAUGCACUGUCCUUAAUAUUCUAAAAAAACCAUAGGGAAGUGAGAACAUACCUGGGACGUACUAAGCACCCGAGUUAGGAGCCUUCUCGGAUGGGUACAUAAAAGUUGGCGGUGGCGGUGGUGGUGAUGUACUACUGGAUGAUAAAAUCGAUGCUAUAUCAUCAUCUCUCUACCUAUCUAUGAAUGCAUUCUCGAAAAAAUCAUGCCUAACCUUUUUAAGGACCUUUUUCUCUAUCAUAACAGGAUUUUACAAAUCGUGUAAGUAACCUCUCUUGGUUCCAACUGCUAGGACCGCCUCAUCAUUCUCUGAGAAGAAGUCAAAAUAUCUCGGUACACCUAUAAGAAAACGUACCUCUACUAGUAGGAUAUCAAAUCUUCUUUCAUCUGAGUUAAAUCUGGUGCACCUAUCUCUGUAUAUCAAGAUGCAACCCAUCUCUCCAGCUCAUUAAUCUAUGUCUAAAAAUCGACACGAAACUCAGACAAUAUGGCUCCCUAAGUAGCCUCUAAUCUAGCCUCGGCCUACUCAAAUCUAAUCCUAAGCCUACUCAAAUCUAAUCCUAACCCCUGAUGUCAUCUGACAAGAGUGUAGCCAUCUUAGUCUCAAAAACCUUCAAUUUAGUGGUUGUAGUCCUCUGGCUGUCGACUAGGUUCUGCAAAAACUCACUGGAUACAGUAAUCAUACAUGUUGUAAAAGCUAUAAUGGAUGGGCGAGUAGGCUCUGUAGAUACACCAACCAGCUCUGAGGUCGAAGCCAAGGCUGAAGAAGAAGUAGCAUAUGUCCCCUCACCCUGAGUUCUCGGAUUCAAAGCAUGUAUUUGCUCCCAUAUAUACAUAUCUAUACCAACAUCUGUAUCAUCUAUAUAUACCUUAUCAAGAGCUAUAGAAAUUGUUGGGCCCUCAUUCUGGGCCUGUACUGCUACUGCCUGUUGUCUAGGUCUCCUAGAAGUGCCUGAAUAUGCCAUACCCUUCAGGUUCCUCAUCUGUGCAGUAGCAGUAAUAGUCACCCUCUCAUCAAUACCUGGUAACUUAGGCACACCUACUUUAUUACAUAGUCUCUGGAUCAUACAAUGAAAUAACAGAUCAUACAAUGAAAUAACAGGUUAUUCAUCUCACCAAAUGCUCUAUCAUUUAGCUCAUACCUAAAGAUUGUUGUAAAGUCAACAUCAUAACUAGCCAUCAAGCAGGAAAUUAAUGCAGCUCAUUUCUAUGUCAAUGUAUUAUCUAAAGUAGUGGGAAGCAGGUGAUAUCGAAUCAGUAACUAACAAAGUUUGGCCUCUCGUGUCAAUAGGCCCUUCUUGAUCACAGUUGGCCCCUCAAUACAUGGGGCCUCAUCACUCUUUGGUGAAAUAUAACCGGUUAUCCACCUAGCCAUCUCAGGCCUCUCAGGACUGUUCUUAGCAUCUCGUAUAAUAUGAGGAUCCCAUAUGAUCCUCAAUCUGUGGUUGUACUCUCCUAUAGAUGCGGGUGUAAUAAAAUCUAGGCCAAAUAUUACUCUACAGAAAGUCUCCUCUCUAGCAUCAACUCUGACCCCUCUAACUAGUGUGUGAUCAAGUUGUGGCCGCCGGGCAAAUCUGAUAAAGCCUGAAUGAUAGAGCAUGGGAAAGACUAUGGUUGCUCUGUACGAUGCAUAAAACUCCAUCACCAUAUCUAGGCUAUAAGAACCAAGUGUCCUAGUCAUCCACCCAAGCUAAUACCUAUCAAAUGUUUUCCUCAGCUGUGGUAACCACUCCAACCCCAAUAAGUUAAUCUGGUGCUCCUUAUAGAUACAUCGUGUAGGCCUGCCUAUGUAAUAACUCAAACUUUCUAGGCUUAAAUUCAUCCUAAAAAUGUUAAGGAUUAUGUUUUAAAAUGAAUGAUAAUUAUUUCGUAUGGAAUUUUACAUAUUUAGACCUCCCAUUGUGUGGGAAAUUUAAUAAGCUUUCCAACGAUAUAAGAUUCACCUAAAUCCGAUAAUUGGGUAAGAACUGAUGGCUAUAUAAAGUUCUAGUCAUAAAACACCGUCAUUUUUGUCACUAGCGCAUCGCGUAGAGGGUUUAAAUAAUGAUUAUCAAAUUCCAGUAGCCCUCCGCGAGAUUGGCGCAUCGCGGAGAGGGUCAAUUUCCUAUUUGUUAAUUUUCAGAGGUCCAGCGUGAUAAUGGCGCAUCGUGCCAUGUGCCGAAAUGGCAUUCCAAAGGGGCACCGUAAUGGAUCCGCUUCACAGAGUCUGCCCAGUUUCCAUUUGUCAAUUACCAGUGAGCCACUGCGGUAGUGGCGCGUCACGGUGGCCACCCAGUUCAGAAAAAUAUGUGUUUUUUAGUCCACUUAAUUAUUAAAAAAAGGGUACUUUGGUCAUUCUCCCAGCCCUAAUCCAUCUUAAACAGUGAAUUAAACCCCUUCAAAGCACUUUACAUCCACUUUUCAUCAAAUCUCUCUCAAGCAAAACCCUAGUUCAUCAAACUUUCUCCCUAAGGAAUCCAAAUUCCUCUAUUUAUUUCUCUAAAGAAAUUCAAGAUUGAGGAUUCCCAACACAAGGGCUCUAAGAAUUUAUCAUCAAAGCAUCAAUAGGAAUCCAAGAUUCAAACUUUUCAUCAAAGAUCACCAAUUAAGGUAUGUGGGCUUAUGAACAAGGACAAUCCUUUCGUCCUUGUGCCUAAAAUUUAUUUUAAAUUUAAAUUUACUUUUUAUAUGAUUUCCCAUGAAAUUCAAGUUAGGCGUUACACCCAUCAUUAUUAUUUUCAAUUUUAUGAUAUUUUCAAUGAUUUAAAAGUUGAAUUCUAUGAUUAUGUUCAUAUUUUAUGCAUACUAGUGAAAUUUCCAGAUUUUGGGUUGUCUUAUCCAUAUUUAUAUUAUCAAACAUGAUUAUUAUGAUAUAUUUAACAUGAUAUUGACUCAUGGAUUAUUUAUCCCAAGAUUUAGUAUUAUUACUUCAAGAAAGAUGAUGUUUUAAGCAUCUUAUGAGCAGAUUAUUUAUAGUUCUUUAGUAAAGCUUUGAUCUCUCGAUCACUGGUUUAGCUUUGGAAUUCACUUUACAGAUUUUUAUGGUUUACAGAACUCAGAUUAUCUUUAUUUAUAGAUUUACUCAUAUAAAUGCAUGAUUGGUUUUCCAUAAACCCUUAUGUUAGCUUUAAAAGUAAAUUUCUAAUAAUUUGAGCAUACAGAUUUAAGAGGGAGUAGUAUUUAGCACCAAAUGUGAAGUGUGGGAUUAGCAUACCCUAUCUUCCAUAGAACUAUGUAUCCAAUAUAGGUAAAGAUUAUCAGAUUUUCCCAUUUCUAUAUGGAUGACAGUUUUAGCUUCUGAUCGAUCACAUAGAUUAGGUUAUACUCCCUGGCAAGAGUAUGACACCUCUCCCCAACAUGAGGUUUCUUCCUUAGGAGGUCAAGACGUUGGACUCUAUAUAGCUCACAUAUUUUAUAUCGGUUAAGAGAACCUCCCUUACAGAUAAGCUUUUGAAAAAGUAUUUCCCUAACAGUAAAGAUUUUCAAAAUAAGUUUUCAGAUUUCACUUAGCAUAUAUAAUUUCAAAAUAAGAAUAGAAUACAAAUUUUAGAACUAAGUGUUGUGACUCACAAGAAUUGUAUUGCAUGCUUUACUAUUCAUGAUUUAUGAUCUUCAGGUUUCAUAUUUACUAAAUCCUAUGUGAGUCAUUUAAAUUUAGCAUGCAUAAUUUUAUAAAUUAUGAUGACAAUGUGUACUUAUUGCAUUCACCCCCAUAUACUCAGUACAUCCUCAAAGUACUGAUCCACAUAUAUGUCUAUGUGCUACAUUAUCUCAUAAUGUAGGUUCAGGUGCUCAGCCGUAGCAGAGUGAGUAAUUUUUUAGUAUCUCAUCUAUAUCUCUGCAAUUGGUGAGUCCUCAUAGGUCGGGGACUUAGCUAUUCAUGUUUUCAGUUUAUUAAGAGAUGUUUUUGUAUUCAUUUUAGAUAGUUUGAGUCGGCAGGGGCCUAUCCCAGUGACUCUUUAGAUUUAGUCAGUAGAGGCUUGUUGGACUACUAGAUUUAGUUUUAGAUCUCAGUUACUGUAUUUAGAUUUUUAGUAUUUGUUUUAACAGACAUUUGAGAUUAGUAUAAUUCAGAUAUACCCAGAUAAUUUAGAUGGUUUCUAUACUUAUUAUGAUUUUUCAUUCAUACCUUCCCGAAUUUGAGAUUCAGAUUUAGAAAAGGCAGCUAGGGUUAGCUCAUAACUACUUGUAGUUUGGAGCACUGUGUUGCAUUUCAAGAAUUAGAUUUUGGUGCAUUACAAACUUGAUAUCAAAGCCUAAGAUUUAGAGAGUCCUAGGGAGUCAGACAAGCCACGUUACGUAGAGUCUUGAUCAUAGGUGUGAAGUGCACCACAUCUAUGAGAAAAAAGCUAUGAACAUUUUAGGAAAUCAUCUCUUCUUUCAUGAUCUAUAGUGUAUUUAAUAUUACUGUCUACUGCUAAUUCAUUCUUUCACAUGAAACAAAAUGCCUCCUCAUCAAGCUAACACACACUAAAAUGAUAACCAGCCACCUCAACCCGCAUAUUCUAUGAAUGAUAAUGUGCCACAUGCAGAGUUUUGGGCUACUUUUCAUGCGUUAGCCCAAGCUAUGACAGCUAAUAUUCAAGGAAAUCAUUAGGCUGUAGCCCCACCCCAGUAAGAUGGGGACUUAGCCGCAGCCAAAAUUCAAGAUUUUAUGAGGAUGAAUCCCCUAGGGAUUUUUGGAUUGAAGGCAGGUGAGGACUCACAGCUUUAUCUGGAUGAGGUAAGGAAGAUCGCCCAAAUUAUGCAUAGUUCUGAAGAGAAGAGUAUAGAAUUGGCAUCCUAUAGGAUGAAGGAUGUUGCUUAGGAUUGGGUAGUAAUAAGUAGAUAGGAGAAUGCAGCUCCCAUAACUUGGUAGAUUUUUUAGGAUACAUUCUUAGACAAGUUCUUCCCAUAUGAAAUAAAGGAAGCUAAGAUAUAAGAGUUCAUGAACCUGAGGCAAGGCUCAAUAAUAGUUAAGGAGUAUUUCCUCAAGUUCAACCUAUUGUCUAAGUAUGCCCCUGAUCAGAUGGCUGACCCUAGGUCAAGCAUGAGUAAGUUUGUAAUCGGUGUAUCUGGGUUGGUAGUUAAGGAGUAUAGGACUACUAUUCUCAUUUGAGACAUGGAUCUCCCUAGAUUGAUAAUGCAUACCCAAUAGAUUAAUACAAAGAAGAUAAGGAAAGAGAAAGAGAGUAAAUAAGAAGGCUAGAACAGGGCAGAUUAAUUAUGGUAAGAAUAGCUCCGAAGGAGGAAAUCAUUCAUAAUUUUAGAAUCGUUUAUCUAUGCCUGCACAUUCUUCAUCCAAUUCUCUAGCACCUAGAAAUAGAAAAAAAUAGUGGGGUAACUCCGCUAUGUUUAGAUCUCAAAAUAGUGUGAGUGGUAGGCCCAGCUAUCCUCAGUGUGCUGGGUGCAGUAAGAAUUAUCCUGGUGAGUGUUUAGCUGGAUGGAGGGGUUGCUAUGGUUAUGGCCAGCUGCUUCAUGAAAUUAAAGAGUGUCCACAUGCUAGAUAGGGAAAUAAGGAUGUUUCUCCUCAGACUCAGGCUACUAGUGCACCAGCUCCUUUAAGUUGCCUAGCUUCUCCUCAGGGCGUAUCAUCCAGUACCAAUAGCGAAUAGUGCUAGAAUUGGUUUUAUGGCUUACCAUUCUUCCAGGAGCAUGAUGAUUUUCUAGAUGUUGUUACUGGUAUAUUUUGAUGUUUAUGUAUUAUGAGACCCUGGGUUGAGUUUUUUUUAUGUGACCCCGCUAUUUGCUAUGAAUUUUGAGAUAAAUCCUGAAAAGAUCCUCGGGCCCUUCUUUGUUUGUACUCAGUAGGUGAGUCAGUUGUUGCUAAGAGAAUCUAUAAGAAGUGUCCUAUCAUUGUCCAUCAUAAAGUCAUAUUAGCAGACUUGAUAGAGUUAGAUAUGGUUGAUUUUAAUCUUACCCUUGGUAUGGAUUAGCUCCAUUCCUGUUAUGCCUUUAUAGAUUGUCGCACCUAUAUGGUGAAGUUUCAAUUCCCAGAUAAGCCAGUUUUUGAGUGGUCAGGUAAUUCAGUGUCUCCCAAGAGUCAUUUCAUAUCUUAUCUUAAGGCCAGAAAUUUGAUAUCCAAAGGUUACAUUUACCACCAAGUUUGAGUCAAAGACACAAAGUCUGAGACUCAAAUACUUUGGUCUGUUUGAGUAGUCAAUGAAUUUCCUGAAGUGUUUCUAGAAGAUCUCCUAAGGGUACCUCCCAAUAGGAAAAUAGAGUUCGGUAUUGACCUUGUCCCAGAUACUCAGCCUAUUUAUAUCCCUCCAUAUCAUAUGGCUCCCGUAGAGCUUAAGGAGUUGAAAGAGGAACUCAAAGAUCUUUUCGAUAAAGGUUUCAUAAGGCCUAGUGUUUUUCCAUGGGGUGGUCCUGUCCUAUUCAUGCGAAAGAAAGAUAGUUCUUUGCGAAUGUGCAUUGACUAUCAUCAGCUAAAUAAGGUCACAGUCAAGAACAAAUUCCCUCUUCCUAGAAUUGAUAACUUGUUUGACCAACUCCAAGGUGCAAGUUAUUUCUCAAAUAUAGACCUUAGAUCCGUCUAUCGUAACUUAAAGUAAGGGAGUGUGACAUUCCAAAGACAGCCUUCAGAACCCGUUAUGGUCAUUUUGAGUUUCUAGUCAUGUCCUUAAGGCUAACCAAUACUUUAGCAGCUUUUAUCGACCUCAUGAACUGAGUUUUCAAAUAGUAUCUAGACAUGUUUGUUAUAGUAUUCAUAGAUGAUAUCCUUGUAUACUCCCGUAGUGAGGAUGACCAUGUAUAUCAUCUUAGAAUUGUCUUGCAAACUCUUAGAGAUCAUUAAUUUUUUGCCAAAUUCAGCAAGUAUGAAUUCUGGCUAAGAUUAGUAGCCUUUCUCGAUCAAAUUAUUUCCACUGAUGGCAUUAAGGUUGAUCCCCAAAAGACAAAAGCUAUAAGAAAUUGUCCUAGACCUAUCUCCUUGUCAGAUAUUAGAAGUUUCUUGGGUCUAGCUGGUUAUUACAAAUAUUUUGUUAAGGUUUUCUCAUCUAUUGCAUACCCUAUGUCUACAGUUAAUUUGGGUUGUAUGUUAAUGCAGAGAGGUAAGGUCAUAGAAUAUGCCUCUAGAUAGCUUAAGCCUCAUGAAAAGAAUUAUCCAACCCAUGACCUUGAAUUAGCUGUUGUGGUGUUUCCAUUGAAAAUCUAGAGACACUAUCUGUAUAGUGUACAUGUUGAUGUGUUCACGAACCACAAAAGUUUACAGUAUGUGUUUACCCAAAGGGAGUUGAAUCUUUGUCAGAGGAGAUAGUUAGAAUUGUUGAAGGAUUAUGACAUGAGCGUGUUGUAUCAUUUGGGCAAGCCAAUGUAGUAGCAGACACCCUUAGUAAAGUAUCUAUGGGCAGUGUUGCCCAUGUGGAGAAUGAUAAGAAAGAGCUAGUGUGAGAAGUUCAUUUUUUGGCUAGAUUGGGUCUUAGGUUGGUUGAUUCAGCUGAAGGGAAUGUUUGGGUUCAAAGUAGUUCCGAAUCUUCCCUAGUUUUGGAAGUGAAGGAGAAGCAAAAUAUGGAUUCUAGUUUGGUCAAACUGAAAGAGUUAGUGAGAGACCAAAGGGUAGAGGUUUUCUCCAAAGGGGGAGAUGGUAUGUUGAGAUACCAGAGUAUAUUGUAUGUGCUAUGUGUUGAUGAGUUGAGACAGUGGAUUAUGGCUGAAGCUCAUGGCGCGCGUUAUCUAUUCAUCCAGGUGCUACCAAGAUGUACCGUGACUUAUGAGAAAUCUAUUGGUGGAAUGGUAUGAAGAGAGAUAUAGUAGAGUUCGUAGCUAAAUAUGCAACUUGUCAAUAGAUUAAGGUAGAGAACCAAAGACCUAGUGGUAAGUUGCAAGAGUUUGGUAUCCCUACUUGGAAGUGGGAAGAGGUGAAUAUGGAUUUUUUGAUUGGUUUACCCCAUUCGCAUCGUCAGCAUGAUUCGACUUAGGUUAUUGUAAAUAGGCUGACUAAAUCAGCCCAUUUCUUACCAGUUCACAUAUCCUAUACUGCUGAAGAUUAUGCUAAGUUGUACAUCAGAGAGUUGGUCAGAUUACAUGGAGUUCCCUUGUCUAUCAUCUCAGAUAGGGGUACUCAAUUUACUUCCCAGUUUUGGAAAGCCUUUCAGAAGGGUCUUAGUACCCAAUCCAUCUUAGUUCAGCUUUUCACCCUCAAGCAAAUGGUCCAAUAGAGAGAACCAUCCAAACUCUAGAUGAUAUAGUGAGGGCAUGUGCUCUUGAUUUCAAAGGUAAUUGGGAUUAGCAUUUUUCGUUAAUUCAAUUUGCUUAUAAUAACAGUUACCAUUCUAGCUUUUAGAUGGCCCCGUUUGAGGCUCUUUAUGGGAGGAGAUAUAGAUCACCCAUAAGUUGGUUUAAAGUGGGUGAGGUUGAUUUGCUUGGUCUUGAUUCAGUGUUUGAAGCUAUCGAGAAAUUUAAGUUGAUUAGAGAAAGACUGAAAACACCCCAGAGUCGUCAGAAAUCAUAUACGGAUGUGAGAAGAAGGGACCUUGAGCUUGAGGCUGGUGAUUUAGUAUAUCUGAGGAUUUCACCCAUGAAAGGGGUUAAGAGAUUUGGGAAGAAAGGGAAUCUUAGUCCCCAGUAUGUUUGCCCUUAUAGAAUUCUAAGUCGCGUUGGGAAAGUAGCUUAUGAGCUUAAGUUUCCCGCAGACUUGUCAGCCGUUCAUCCUAUAUUUCACGUCUUUAUGCUUAAGAAGUGCAUCGAUGACUCCACCAUUGUAGUUCCUUUAGAAAACUCAGAUAAUAAGAAUAGCCUCUCAUACGAAGAGACUCUGGUUGAGAUUUUAGAUCAUCAGAUCCAUAGACAAAGGAACAAAGAAGUUUCCUUGGUCAAAGUUCUUUGGAGGAAUCAGUCAGUUGAGGGCGCUACUUGGGAAGCAGAAGCAUAUAUGCGAGCCAAAUAUCCUCACCUCUUCUCCAAAAAUUUAGAUUUAGCCGAAGGUAAUACCCCUCCUUAAUUCAGCUCUUUUCUAAUCUCAGAUUCAGCUAUAUAGCUAUUUUCAUGUGAACUUAUCUGCUUAUAGAUCAGUUCAGUAAGCUCUUUAUGUUGAGAAUCAGUCAUUUUGUUAAUUUAGUUGUGCAUGAUAACUUAUAGCCUAAGAUUUCCCCAAUAUUCUCAACUUAACCAGACACAUUCGAAGACAAAUGUUCCCAAGGGAGAAAUAUUGUAAUACACUAAACUUUCCUAGCUUAAAUUCAUCCUAAAAAUGUCAAGGAUUAUCUUUUAAAGUGAAUUAUAAUUAUUUAGUGAGGAAUUUUCCAUAUUUACACCUCCCGUUGUGUGGGAAAUUUAAUAAGCUUUCCAACAAUAUAAGAUUUGGACAAAUCCGACAAACGGGUAAGAAUUUAUGGCUAUUUUAAGUUUCAGUCGCAAAAUGCCAUCAUUUCAGUCACUAGCGCAUCGCAUAGAGGGUUUAAAUGAUGAUUAUCCAAUUUCAGUGGCCCACUGUGAUAUUGGCACAUUGCAGAGUGGGGAAAUUUCCCAUUCAUCAAUUUCUAGAGGUCCAACGCGAUAAUAGCGCAUCACGCUAUGUGCCAAAAUGGCAUUCUAAAAGGGCACCACAAUGGCCCUACAUCACGGAGUCUGCCUAGUUUCCAUUUGUCAAUUUCCAGUGAGCCACUGCGAUAGUGGUGCAUCGCGGUGGCCAUCCAGUUCGGAAAAAUAUGCAUAUUUUAGUUCGUUUAAUUAUUAAAAAGGGGUACUUUGGUCAUUAUUCCAGCCCCUAAUCCAUCUUAAAUAGUGAAUUAAACCCCUUCAAAGCACUUUACAUCCACUUUUCAUCAAAUCUCUCUCAAGCAAAACCCUAGUUCAUCAAACUUUCUCCCCCAAGAAAUCCAAAUUCCUCCAUUUAUUUCUCCAAAGAAAUUCAAGAUUGAGGAUUCCCAACACAAGGGCUCUAAGAAUUUAUCAUCAACGCAUCAAUUGGAAUCUAAGAUUCAAGUUUUUCAUCAAAGAUCACCAAUUAAGGUAUGUGGGGUUAUGAACAAGGACAAUCCUUUUGUCCUUGUACCCAAAAUUUAUUUUAAAUUUAAAUUUACUUUUUAUAUGAUUUCCCAUGAAAUUCAAGUUAGGGUUUACACCCAUCAUUGUAAUUUUCAAGUUUAUGAUAUAUUCAAUGAUUUAAAAGUUGAAUUCCAUGAUUAUGUUCAUAUUUUCAUGCAUAUUGCUGAAAUUUCCAGAUUUUGAGUUGUCUUAUCCAUAUUUACAUUAUCAAUCAUGAUCAUUAUGAUAGAUUUAACAUCAGAUUGACGCAUGGGUUAUUUAUCCCAAGAUUUAGUAUUAUUACUUCACGAAAGAUGAUGCUUUAAUCAUUUUGUGAGCAGAUUAUUUAUAGUUUUUCAGUAACGCUUUGAUCUUUUGAUCACUAGUUUAGCUUUGGAAUCCACUAUAAAGAUUAUUACAGUUUACAGAACUUAGAUUAGCUUUAUUUAUAGAUUUACUCAUAUAAAUGCAUUAUUAGUUUUCCAUAUGAACCCUUAUGUUAGUUUUAAAAGUGGAUUUCCAAUAGUUUGAGCAUACAGAUUUAAGAGGGAGUAGUAUUUAGCACCGAGUAGGAAUUGUUGGAUUAGCGUGCCCUAAUUCCAUGGAACUACGUAGCCAAUGUAGGUACAGAUUAUCAUAUUUUCCCAUUUCUAUAUGGAUGAUAGUUUUAUUUCUAAUCGAUUACAUGGAUUUUGUUAUACUCCCUGGCAAGAGUAUAACACCUUCCCCAACGUGAGAUUUCUUCCUUAGGUGGUCAAGACAUUGGAAUCCAUGUAGAUCACAUAGUUUAUGUCAGUUAAUCAAACCUCCCAUACAAAUGAGCUUUUGAAAAAGUAUUUUCGUAACAGUAAAGAUUUUCAAAAUAAGUUUCUAGAUUUCACUUAGCCUAUAUGAUUUGAGAAUAAGAACAAAAUAUAGAUUUUAAAACUAAGUAUUGUGACUCACAAGAAUUGUAUUGCAUGCUUUACUAUUCAUGAUUCAUGAUCUUCAAGUUUCAGAUUUACUUAAGCCUAUGUGAGUCAUUUACAUUUAGCAUGCAUGAUUUUAAAAAUUGUGAUGACAUUGUUUACUUAUUGAUUCACCCCCAUAUACUCAGUACAUCCUCAAAGUACUGAUUCACAUAUAUGUCUAUGUGCUACAUUGUCUCAUAAUGUAGGUUCAGGUGCUCACUCGCAUCAGCGCGAGUGAUUUUUGAGCAUCUCAUCUAUAUCUCCGUAGUAGAUGAGUCUUCAUAGUUUGGGACUUAGCUAUUCAUGUUUUUAAUUUAUUAAUAGAUGUGUCCAUAUUCAUUUCAGAUAGUUUGAGUUAGCUGGGGCCUGUCCCAAUGACUCUGUAGAUUUAGUCAGUAAAGGCUUGUCAGACUACUAGAUUCAGUUUUAGAUCUCAGUUAUUGUAUUCAGAUUUUCAUUAUUUGUUUUAUCAAACUUUUGAGAUUCGUAUAAUUCAGAUAUACCCAGAUAAUU